GUGCAGGGCGUCUAGGGUUCCGCUUCGUCAACUACCGCGAAGGUCUGGUCCGAGAGAUGCCAGCGCGUCGGCAAAUUCCGGCGCGAUACACGGCGGGGCAAAAUCCCGGGAGAC
rnacentral:sRNA from 1 species